rnacentral:rRNA from 1 species
GACGAACGCUGGCGGCGUGCUUAACACAUGCAAGUCGAGCGGAAAGGCCCUGCUUGCCGGCUGCUCGAGUGGCGAACGGGUGAGUAACACGUGGGUGAUCUGCCCCUUACUUUGGGAUAAGCCUGGGAAACUGGGUCUAAUACUGGAUAGGACCAUGCUGUAGGUGGUGUGGUGGAAAGAUUAGUUUCGGUAAGGGAUGAGCUCGCGGCCUAUCAGCUUGUUGGUGGGGUAAUGGCCUACCAAGGCGUCGACGGGUAGCCGGCCUGAGAGGGUGGACGGCCACAUUGGGACUGAGAUACGGCCCAGACUCCUACGGGAGGCAGCAGUGGGGAAUAUUGCACAAUGGGCGCAAGCCUGAUGCAGCGACGCCGCGUGGGGGAUGACGGCCUUCGGGUUGUAAACUCCUUUCAGCCAUGACGAAGCCCUUGUGGUGACGGUAGUGGUAGAAGAAGCACCGGCUAACUACGUG